rnacentral:rRNA from 1 species
CGUGCGGUUCUAUUUUGUUGGUUUCUAGAAUCGCCGUAAUGAUUAAUAGGGAUAGUUGGGGGCAUUCGUAUUCAAUUGCUAGAGGUGAAAUUCUUGGAUUUAUUGAAGACGAACUACUGCGAAAGCAUUUGCCAAGGAUGUUUUCAUUGAUCAAGAACGAAGGUUAGGGGAUCGAAAACGAUCAGAUACCGUUGUAGUCUUAACAGUAAACGAUGCCGACUAGGGAUCGGACGAGGAUUUUUUAUGACUCGUUCGGCACCUGAAGAGAAAUCUUUAAGUCUAGGUUCGGGGGGGAGUAUGGUCGCAAGGCUGAAACUUAAAGGAAUUGACGGAAGGGCACCACCAUGGUGUGGAGCCUGCGGCUUAAUUUGACUCAACACGG